rnacentral:misc_RNA from 1 species
CAGAGUUGCAAAACUCCCAACCCUUGUGAACAUACCCGUUACAGUUGCUUCGGCGGGCAGCCCCAGGGCGGGGCUGCAGCCUCUUCUCACGAGGCGCCCGCCGGAGGUAUAUAACUCUUUGUAUUUGUUGGUCUCUCUGAGUAAAUUUAUAAUAAGUCA